GGACUGUAUGAAGAAAGCUGCACACUAGUAUAUGACAACCCUUUAUGGGACGCAAAGGACUCUACGAAGUCAAAGGCUUUAAGCCAUAAGAAUAAAUUCAAAUCCAUGGCUAUAAAAAGAUCCAAAGAGGUCUGCAAAGUAGUUCACAUUAUGAAUUUUCCCGACUUGCCGAGGUGGCAUAUUCCAAUGGAGGUUCGUAAGAUAAAAUCGCGUAUGAAAAUCUGUGUAUAUGUGUUAACAUUGAUGUCACAACACAUAUGAGAUCCGUUUGAUACAUCCGCUAAGAAUGAGCUAUCUGUUUAUGCAAGUUCGUAUGUGCAAGAUAUUAUAAACCGUUAGGACUAUAUUACAUAUAGGAUUCUGCAAUAGGCGAUUCG
rnacentral:lncRNA from 1 species